AGUACUGAUGUGUAGUUUUGUUGAACUUAUGGACAAAGACUUAGGUGGGAAAAUAAGGUCUCUUUUUCAACCCGGAACUCCUUGUCAGUAUGGGUUUUGAUAUACACAUAGAGGAAUAUG